rnacentral:rRNA from 1 species
CUAUUCUACAGGCUUAACACAUGCAAGUCGAGGGGCAUCAGGAAGAAAGCUUGCUUUCUUUGCUGGCGACCGGCGCACGGGUGAGUAACACGUAUCCAACCUGCCCUUUACUCGGGGAUAGCCUUUCGAAAGAAAGAUUAAUACCCGAUGGCAUAAUGAUUCCGCAUGGUUUCAUUAUUAAAGGAUUCCGGUAAAGGAUGGGGAUGCGUUCCAUUAGGUUGUUGGUGAGGUAACGGCUCACCAAGCCUUCGAUGGAUAGGGGUUCUGAGAGGAAGGUCCCCCACAUUGGAACUGAGACACGGUCCAAACUCCUACGGGAGGCAGCAGUGAGGAAUAUUGGUCAAUGGGCGCUAGCCUGAACCAGCCAAGUAGCGUGAAGGAUGAAGGCUCUAUGGGUCGUAAACUUCUUUUAUAUAAGAAUAAAGUGCAGUAUGUAUACUGUUUUGUAUGUAUUAUAUGAAUAAGGAUCGGCUAACUCCGUGCCAGCAGCCGCGGUAAUACGGAGGAUCCGAGCGUUAUCCGGAUUUAUUGGGUUUAAAGGGAGCGUAGGUGGACUGGUAAGUCAGUUGUGAAAGUUUGCGGCUCAACCGUAAAAUUGCAGUUGAUACUGUCAGUCUUGAGUACAGUAGAGGUGGGCGGAAUUCGUGGUGUAGCGGUGAAAUGCUUAGAUAUCACGAAGAACUCCGAUUGCGAAGGCAGCUCACUGGACUGCAACUGACACUGAUGCUCGAAAGUGUGGGUAUCAAACAGGAUUAGAUACCCUGGUAGUCCACACAGUAAACGAUGAAUACUCGCUGUUUGCGAUAUACAGUAAGCGGCCAAGCGAAAGCAUUAAGUAUUCCACCUGGGGAGUACGCCGGCAACGGUGAAACUCAAAGGAAUUGACGGGGGCCCGCACAAGCGGAGGAACAUGUGGUUUAAUUCGAUGAUACGCGAGGAACCUUACCCGGGCUUAAAUUGCAGUGGAAUGAUGUGGAAACAUGUCAGUGAGCAAUCACCGCUGUGAAGGUGCUGCAUGGUUGUCGUCAGCUCGUGCCGUGAGGUGUCGGCUUAAGUGCCAUAACGAGCGCAACCCUUAUCUUUAGUUACUAACAGGUUAUGCUGAGGACUCUAGAGAGACUGCCGUCGUAAGAUGUGAGGAAGGUGGGGAUGACGUCAAGUCAGCACGGCCCUUACGUCCGGGGCUACACACGUGUUACAAUGGGGGGUACAGAAGGCAGCUAGCGGAUGACCGUAUGCUAAUCCCAAAAGCCUCUCUCAGUUCGGAUCGAAGUCUGCAACCCGACUUCGUGAAGCUGGAUUCGCUAGUAAUCGCGCAUCAGCCACGGCGCGGUGAAUACGUUCCCGGGCCUUGUACACACCGCCCGUCAAGCCAUGGGAGCCGGGGGUACCUGAAGUACGUAACCGCAAGGAUCGUCCUAGGGUAAAACUGGUGACUGG